rnacentral:misc_RNA from 1 species
UUGCUGGAGGAAACCCGAGCAAAAAUGGAAUGUCAGAUUGUUGCAGUGGCUGGUAUCCAGGCGGAAUCAAACAUGAGAAUUGGAAGUGACAACUUUUCAGAUCAAACCCCAUUUAACCCUGCCGAACUUGUUAGAACACUCAAGUCAGUAGCAGCAGCUCCACAUUCCCGGCUUGACAGGUUGUCGUUUGUGUUGGCAAAAGCUCAGUUGGUGGCCUUCAAUCG